rnacentral:rRNA from 1 species
UAGCGAUAGCUAAUUGCAAAUAUCGACUCUCUCGAAUAAAAUUCUAGGUAGAAUUAUGAUAAUGACAUUGUCUGCCUAUGUGUCUUGACCAAAUUACGUGCCAGCAGUCGCGGUAAUACGUAGAAGACUAGUGUUAUUCAUCUUUAAUUGGUUUAAAGGGUACCUAGACGGUAAAUCAAGCACUAAUUUACUAGAGUUACUUGUGAGGGGGUAUUAAAGUACUGCUGGUGUAGAGAUAAAAUUCUAUGAUACCUCUUUUCGAUGGCACAGGUAUAGGCGAAAGCAUCCUCUUAUGUGAUAACUGACGUUGAAGGACGAAGGCUUUGUGUGCGAA